rnacentral:rRNA from 1 species
GAUGAACGCUGGCGGCGUGCCUAAUACAUGCAAGUCGAGCGAACAGACGGGGAGCUUGCUCCUCUGACGUUAGCGGCGGACGGGUGAGUAACACGUGGAUCAGCUACCUAUUAGACUGGGAUAACUUCGGGAAACCGGUGCUGAUAACGGAUAAUAUAUUCAACCGCAUGGUUCAAUAGUGCAUGAGGGUUUUGGUGAUUCUAUUAGAUGGAUCCGCGCCGCAUUAGCUAGUUGGUAAGGUAACGGCCUACCAAGGCAACGAUGCGUAGCCGACCUGAGAGGGUGAUCGGCCACACUGGAACUGAGACACGGUCCAGACUCCUACGGGAGGCAGCAGUAGGGAAUCUUCCGCAAUGGGCGAAAGCCUGACGGAGCAACGCCGCGUGAGUGAUGAAGGUCUUCGGAUCGUAAAACUCUGUUAUUAGGGAAGAACAAAUGUGUAAGUAACUAUGCACGUCUUGACGGUACCUAAUCAGAAAGCCCCGGCUAACUACGUG